GCCUUCGUGGUGUUACUGGAUAACACGUCCGACUACCAAUCGGAAGGUUAGGUGUUCGAAUCCCGACGAAGACA
rnacentral:tRNA from 1 species